UCGAACGCGAAAGUCCCGCAAGGGGCAAGUAGAGUGGCAAACGGGUGAGUAACACGUCGGGUGACCUGCCUUCGAGUGGGGGAUAACGUCCCGAAAGGGACGCUAAUACCGCAUGACAUCCUGCCUUUGGAAAGGCGGAGAUCAAAGCCGGGGAUCGCAAGACCUGGCGCUUGAAGAGGGGCCCGCGCCUGAUUAGCUAGUUGGUGGGGUAACGGCCUACCAAGGCGACGAUCAGUAUCCGGCCUGAGAGGGCGGACGGACACACUGGGACUGAGACACGGCCCAGACUCCUACGGGAGGCAGCAGUGGGGAAUUGUUCGCAAUGGGCGCAAGCCUGACGACGCAACGCCGCGUGGAGGACGAAGAUCUUCGGGUCGUAAACUCCUGUCGAGCGGGAAGAAUGCUUCGCGGGUGAAUACUCCGCGAAAUUGACGGUACCGCUAAAGGAAGCCCCGGCUAACUCCGUGCCAGCAGCCGCGGUAAUACGGGGGGGGCAAGCGUUGUUCGGAAUUACUGGGCGUAAAGGGCUCGUAGGCGGCCAACUAAGUCAGACGUGAAAUCCCCAGGCUUAACCUGGGAACUGCGUCUGAUACUGGAUGGCUUGAAUUCGGGAGAGGGAUGCAGAAUUCCAGGUGUAGCGGUGAAAUGCGUAGAUAUCUGGAGGAAUACCGGUGGC
rnacentral:rRNA from 1 species